rnacentral:lncRNA from 12 species
CACAGUGCUUGGUAUGGUGUCAAGCCUCAGGAACUGUUGGCUGAAUGGAUGGAUGAACUGUGAAUAUAUGAAUGUGCCUAGUCAAAGUACUGACUUCUUCCCAAAGCAGCAAAACCAGGCUUACGGCUGAGGCAAAACCAUGAAAUAAGGGAUGACUUCAAAGAAACAUUGAUACUCAUAACUCCCAACCCAAAAAUGUGUUCUCCAAAGUUUUUCUUCAGUCUUCAGUCUCAGUGGUUUAAUGAACUCAGCCUUCAAGAGCCUUUGCUGCUGGUCCUAAACCAUUGACAGACAGCUAAGAACAAAAGUUAAAAAGUAAAUGGAACACCUACGAAAUGUUAAUCUCUUGCCACCACUUCAAAUCAUACCCAGGAUAUAAAAUUCAAAAUAAACCAAAAAGACUCCAUGUGUCUGUGGGAGGGGUGAGCCUAGGAUCCUCCUAUGUCACCAUCUUGAGUGGGAACCACAAGAACUCCAUCUUAAAGGAAGAGUACAAGCUAGGUGAGUAAGGAUGAGUGGAGGACAUGUUUGUUGGUGGACAUCAAAAUGAGUAAAGAUGUGGAGGUUUUUGGAGUUGUUGAAGAGGCUGGGUAUUCAAG